GAGAGGAGAGAGAGGGAGGGAGGGAGGGAGAGAGAGAGAGAGAGAGAGAGAGAAAUGGAUCAGAUAUUGAACAAGGUUGGAUCUUACUGGGUAGGUCAGAAAGCCAACAAGGAGCUCAACUCCGUCGGCGAAGAUAUCAAUUCAUUGUCAACCAGCAUUGAAGGAGGAACCAAAUGGUUGGUUAACAAAAUUAAAGG